rnacentral:rRNA from 1 species
CCUACGGGUGGCAGCAGUGGGGGAUAUUGCACAAUGGGGGAAACCCUGAUGCAGCGAAGCCGCGUGAGUGAAGAAGGAUUUAGGUAUGUAAAGCUCUAUCAGCAGGGAAGAAAAUGACAGUACCUGACCAAGAAGCCCCGGCUAACUACGUGCCAGCAGCCGCGGUAAUACGUAGGGGGCAAGCGUUAUCCGGAUUUAUUGGGUUUAAAGGGUGCGUAGGAGGAAGGUUAAGUCAGCGGUAAAAUGUCGGUGCUCAACAGCGGCCUGCCGUUGAAACUGGUCUUCUUGAGUGAGCGAGAAGUAUGCGGAAUGCGUGGUGUAGCGGUGAAAUGCAUAGAUAUCACGCAGAACUCCGAUUGCGAAGGCAGCAUACCGGCGCUCAACUGACGCUGAGGCACGAAAGCGUGGGGAUCGAACAGGAUUAGAUACCCUUGUAGUC